UACAGAGGUCUCAAGCGUUGUUCGGAUUCAUUGGGCGUAAAGGGCGCGUAGGCGGUACUUCAAGUCAGGCGUGAAAGCCCCGGGCUCAACCUGGGAACCGCGCUUGAGACUGGAGAACUAGAGUUCGGGAGAGGAUGGUGGAAUUCCCAGUAUAGAGGUGAAAUUCGUAGAUAUUGGGAAGAACACCGAUGGCGAAGGCAGCCAUCUGGACCGACACUGACGCUGAGGCGCGAAAGCGUGGGGAGCAAACAGG
rnacentral:rRNA from 1 species